CCAGGGGAAGGUUCGUCCGCCCUGGGUUAGUCGGGACCUAAGCUGAGGCCGAAAGGCGUAGGUGAUGGACAACAGGUUGAUAUUCCUGUACUACCGAUAACCGUUUGAGAGAUGGGAUGACACAGUAGGAUAAGCUAAGCACACUGUUGGUUAUGUGUGCCCAAGCAUUGAGGCAGUCAAAGUAGGCAAAUCCGCUUUGAUAAUGCUGGGAUGUGAUGGGGAGCGAAAUUUAGUAGCGAAGUAGCUGAUUUCACACUGUCAAGAAAAGUCUCUAUCGAGGUUAAAGGUACCCGUACCGCAAACCGACACAGGUGGGUGAGGAGAGUAUCCUAAGGCCAGCGAGAGAACUGUUGUUAAGGAACUCGGCAAAAUGACCCCGUAACUUAGGGAUAAGGGGUGCCACCAUCAGGUGGCCGCAGAGAAUAGGCCCAAGCGACUGUUUACCAAAAACAUAGGUUUCUGCUAAGUCGCAAGACGAUGUAUAGGAGCUGACGCCUGCCCGGUGCUGGAAGGUUAAGGGGAUCUGUUAGAG
rnacentral:rRNA from 1 species